rnacentral:snoRNA from 1 species
UGGUUUAGCUGGGUAUAUUUCCAUGCACCACCAGAAGUAUAGAAGGAAUUCUGAAGGAGU